rnacentral:rRNA from 1 species
UACGGGGGGAGCAAGCGUUGUUCGGAAUUACUGGGCGUAAAGCGCACGUAGGCGGAUUUGUAAGUCAGACGUGAAAUCCCUCAGCUUAACUGGGGAACUGCGUCUGAUACUGGAUGGCUUGGAUUUGGGAGAGGGAUGCGGAAUUCCAGGUGUAGCGGUGAAAUGCGUAGAUAUCUGGAGGAACACCGGUGGCGAAGGCGGCAUCCUGGACCAAUAUUGACGCUGAGGAGCGAAAGCCAGGGGAGCAAACGGG